rnacentral:rRNA from 1 species
UAGGGAAUCUUCCGCAAUGGGCGAAAGCUUGACGGAGCAUCGCCGCGUGAGUGAUGAAGGUCUUCGGAUCGUAAAACUCUGUUAUUAGGGAAGAACAAAUGUGUAAGUAACUAUGCACGUCUUGACGGUACCUAAUCAGAAAGCCACGGCUAACUACGUGCCAGCAGCCGCGGUAAUACGUAGGUGGCAAGCGUUAUCCGGAAUUAUUGGGCGUAAAGCGCGCGUAGGCGGUUUUUUAAGUCUGAUGUGAAAGCCCACGGCUCAACCGUGGAGGGUCAUUGGAAACUGGAAAACUUGAGUGCAGAAGAGGAAAGUGGAAUUCCAUGUGUAGCGGUGAAAUGCGCAGAGAUAUGGAGGAACACCAGUGGCGAAGGCGACUUUCUGGUCUGUAACUGACGCUGAUGUGCGAAAGCGUGGGGAUCAAACAGG